rnacentral:rRNA from 1 species
AUUGAACGCUGGCGGCAGGCCUAACACAUGCAAGUCGAGCGAGUGGCGGACGGGUGAGUAGUAUAGUGGAACGUGCGUAAUAGCGGGGGAUAACUAGUCGAACGCGUGGCUAAUACUGCAAACUACUCUAUCGGCCGAUGUUGGAUUAGCUAGUUGGUGGGGUAAAGGCACACCAAGGCAACGAUGCGUAGCUGGUUUGAGAGGACGACCAGCCACACUGGGACUGAGACACGGCCCAGACUCCUACGGGAGGCAGCAGUGGGGAAUUUUGGACAAUGGGGGAAACCCUGAUCCAGCCAUCCCGCGUGUAUGAGAAGGCCUUCGGGUUGUAAAGUACUUUUGGCAGAGAAGCGGUAUCUGCAGAAUAAGCACCGGCUAACUACGUGCCAGCAGCCGCGGUAAUAC